CCUACGGGAGGCAGCAGUGGGGAAUAUUGGACAAUGGGGGCAASCCUGAUCCAGCCAUGCCGCGUGUGUGAAGAAGGCCUUCGGGUUGUAAAGCACUUUCAGCGAGGAGAACGCCUAGUGGUUAAUACCCAUUAGGAAAGACRUCACUCGCAGAAGAAGCACCGGCUAACUCCGUGCCAGCAGCCGCG
rnacentral:rRNA from 1 species